AGCAGUUACUUUCAACACGAUUAGAAAUGUACAACUUUGUGGGGAAGAAAGAAAACAAUCCAUCAAACCUUUACUUUAAUUAUGGGCCCCCAACUUAAAGUAACUGAAACUCCAUGUUCCUACUCCUUUCAGGUGCAGUGAGAAGCUUCCCAAAAUAGAACCUGUAUCAAAGGCUCGAUUCUUUCCACGGUUAAUGACUAACCAUUUCAAAAGACUGGUAGAAAGUAUCACAAUGUGUAAAUAUUCACUAUGUUACAUGUUAGUACAUCUACUUUUUAAAACUUCUAUUCACUGCCUUCAGGUCAGUGAAUUUGACACAAGGCUCAAGCUAAUAAGCUUACAGCAAAAUGUAAUGGGACAUCUUUUAUACUCAAGCAACAACCUGAAUAUUAACAAAAAAGGAAAAGCACUAAUUUCCUGCAAACAGCAAGGCCAGAGGUCUGGUAUGUUCAGGGAAGGGCUGACAUAACAGAAUCCCAGUGAAGAAUUCUUCCCCACAGUGCUGUCAGAGAAGCUCAAGAUGCUCAAUGGAUUGUGUGACUGGUUCAACUGCCACUGCUAAAAGCAAACCAACCCCAACUGCAUAUCUGUGCUUGAGCUGCCUGAACUGGGACUGUGGAGAUGAACAAGAAAUUCCCCAGCUUUAAGACUGAGGAAUAUUUCCCUAGAGCUCCUAAGCCAUAGGAAGCAAUACUUGUCACAGUGUGGGCAGUUAUGACCGUGUGGAGCUUGUUCUGCAUUUUCACACUAAUCAUCCAAAGAAGUCUUAAAAUCAUUCUCCAGCUUCAAAGUAACUUACAUGUUCCUGGGGUUCAGCCACUGUGUGGAUUAGAAGCAAAACUCUCCCUUUUGAAAUACUUGUUUGGAUGGAAACAAUAAUAUCAGUAUACUCCCUGUGUUUCUAACUGUACCAUGGCAGCACUUAAAAAUGAACAUUAGUACUCAACACCAUUUUUUCAUGUAAGUUCCAGAUUUACAGAAGAAUCAGAAGGAGGAUAUAUGUCUUUUAUAUAUAUAUAUAUAUAUAUGUAUGCAUGUCUAUAAAUGUCUGAAUUAACAUUGAUCUUUUUCCCUUAGAAACCAGAUCUUUAUUUCAUUUUAUUAUAUAAAAAGCCUGACAUUUUAAUAAAGAUUAACUUCUCUGUAGGUUACUUAAUAAAUUUCUUAGUACUAUAUUUCUACAUCGUAAGUCAAGAAACUAUAAUUAGAAUGCCCUAUAUUAAUAUGUGAAGAAGAGACUUUCUGCCUACGUAAGAAUGCAAAUUGCUUAGCAAUAAUGUCCCCAAAUUUAGUUCAGAUUUCUUUUCAGGUAGAAGGUUUGUACGUACCUUAAAUUGUCCAUAUAACGAAAUCAUUGAGAAGAAGAGGACAACUGCCAGAGGACCCCAGAAAUCUGGAUUGUCUCUCACUACCUGCCUAUUAAACCCAAGAGACGGCAUAGGCAUCAACACACAUCGAAUUUUGUAGUAAAUGUCCUUCAGAUCAAUGUCGAGUUCUUCCCUGAAAUUGUAAAGCAAGGGAGUGUUACUGUACAGCACAUGAAUGAAACAGAGCAUAAAAAUUAAGUUCAUGGGACUAAAAGAAGGUUUGUAGAACAGGUCUCCUGUUACCAUAAGGCUUUCUGUAGCCAUGACUAGCAAUGGAACAAUUUGUCCACAGAAAAGCAAUGCCAUACUUUCAUCAUACAUUCAACAACCAGUACGACACAGAUAUAUUUUGUUCUACAAAAAUCAAUUACAUGACUGAGAAUAGAAAACAUCCACAGCACAUCUUAAUAGUCUACAGCAAGAUGGCAGAUCUAUUUUCUGGCACACAGGAACAUGUGACGUUCAUGAAAUUGGAAACAGAAGUCAAAGACAUGUACUCAUGAGUAGGAUAUCUAUGUAUUCCUUUGUAUUCCUAUGCUGAACAGUUUGCCACAAGCACAUUUAUUAUGGGAUAAUUUUGUUUCAAAUUCUAAAAGAAAUAUUUUAGUUGCAUUCACUAAUCAUGUACCAAUCAAAAUAUAUCUAAUCAGAUUAAUAAAAAAUAAAGAAGAGACAAGAAAUAAAUACAAAGACAAUUCAGCACAAUUUCUCUUUAAAAAAUGAAGUACUGUUCACUGACUCUUAAGGCCAUUUCAGGAUUGCUAUUGCUGAGGCUAUCUCACAACUGUUGUUAAUAACCCGUGCCUAAGUAACAAAAAUUGCUCUUUCACACAACCUUGAGUAAAGGAAUAGACCAAAAGCAUAAGUUUUUUCCC